GCUUAACACAUGCAAGUCGAACGGAAAGGCCCUGCUUUUGUGGGGUGCUCGAGUGGCGAACGGGUGAGUAACACGUGAGUAACCUGCCCUUGACUUUGGGAUAACUUCAGGAAACUGGGGCUAAUACCGGAUAGGAGCUCCUGCUGCAUGGUGGGGGUUGGAAAGUUUCGGCGGUUGGGGAUGGACUCGCGGCUUAUCAGCUUGUUGGUGGGGUAGUGGCUUACCAAGGCUUUGACGGGUAGCCGGCCUGAGAGGGUGACCGGCCACAUUGGGACUGAGGUACGGCCCAGACUCCUACGGGAGGCAGCAGUGGGGAAUAUUGCACAAUGGGCGGAAGCCUGAUGCAGCAACGCCGCGUGCGGGAUGACGGCCUUCGGGUUGUAAACCGCUUUCGCCUGUGACGAAGCGUGAGUGACGGUAAUGGGUAAAGAAGCACCGGCUAACUACGUGCCAGCAGCCGCGGUGAUACGUAGGGUGCGAGCGUUGUCCGGAUUUAUUGGGCGUAAAGGGCUCGUAGGUGGUUGAUCGCGUCGGAAGUGUAAUCUUGGGGCUUAACCCUGAGCGUGCUUUCGAUACGGGUUGACUUGAGGAAGGUAGGGGAGAAUGGAAUUCCUGGUGGAGCGGUGGAAUGCGCAGAUAUCAGGAGGAACACCAGUGGCGAAGGCGGUUCUCUGGGCCUUUCCUGACGCUGAGGAGCGAAAGCGUGGGGAGCGAACAGGCUUAGAUACCCUGGUAGUCCACGCUGUAAACGGUGGGUACUAGGUGUGGGGUCCAUUCCACGGGUUCCGUGCCGUAGCUAACGCUUUAAGUACCCCGCCUGGGGAGUACGGCCGCAAGGCUAAAACUCAAAGGAAUUGACGGGGCCCCGCACAAGCGGCGGAGCAUGCGGAUUAAUUCGAUGCAACGCGUAGAACCUUACCUGGGUUUGACAUGGAUCGGGAGUGCUCAGAGAUGGGUGUGCCUCUUUUGGGGUCGGUUCACAGGUGGUGCAUGGCUGUCGUCAGCUCGUGUCGUGAGAUGUUGGGUUAAGUCCCGCAACGAGCGCAACCCUUGUUCACUGUUGCCAGCACGUUAUGGUGGGGACUCAGUGGAGACCGCCGGGGUCAACUCGGAGGAAGGUGGGGAUGACGUCAAGUCAUCAUGCCCCUUAUGUCCAGGGCUUCACGCAUGCUACAAUGGCUGGUACAGAGAGUGGCGAGCCUGUGAGGGUGAGCGAAUCUCGGAAAGCCGGUCUCAGUUCGGAUUGGGGUCUGCAACUCGACCUCAUGAAGUCGGAGUCGCUAGUAAUCGCAGAUCAGCAACGCUGCGGUGAAUACGUUCCCGGGGCUUGUACACACCGCCCGUCAAGUCAUGAAAGUUGGUAACACCCGAAGCCGGUGGCCUAACCGUUGUGGGGGAGCCGUCGAAGGUGGGACUGGUGAUUAGGACUAAGA
rnacentral:rRNA from 1 species